rnacentral:rRNA from 1 species
CCUACGGGAGGCAGCAGUGGGGGAUAUUGCACAAUGGGGGGAACCCUGAUGCAGUGACGCCGCGUGGGUGAAGAAGCGCCUCGGCGCGUAAAGCCCUGUCAGCAGGGAAGAAAAUGACGGUACCUGACGAAGAAGCCCCGGCUAACUACGUGCCAGCAGCCGCGGUAAUACGGAGGGGGCAAGCGUUAUCCGGAUUUACUGGGUGUAAAGGGGGCGCAGACGGCGAUGCAAGCCAGGAGGGAAAGCCCGGGGCCCAACCCCGGGACUGCUCUUGGAACUGCGUGGCUGGAGUGCAGGAGGGGCAGGCGGAAUUCCUGGUGUAGCGGUGAAAUGCGUAGAUAUCAGGAGGAACACCGGUGGCGAAGGCGGCCUGCUGGACUGCAACUGACGUUGAGGCCCGAAAGCGUGGGGAGCAAACAGGAUUAGAUACCCGAGUAGUC